rnacentral:rRNA from 1 species
UACACACCGCCCGUCACAUCACGAAAGUCGGCUGUACCGGAAGCCGGUGGGCUAACCCGCAAGGGAGGCAGCCGUCCAUGGUAUGGUCGGUGAUUGGGGUG